rnacentral:rRNA from 1 species
GCAAGGUUAAAACUCAAAGGAAUAGACGGGGAUCCACACAAGCAGUGGAGCAUCUGGUUUAAUUCGAUAAUAAGCGGAGAACCUUACCGGGGCUUGACAUCUCUAGAAUCUUUUGGAAACAAAGGAGUGCCCUUCGGGGAGCUGGAUGACAGGUGCUGCAUGGUUGUCGUCAGCUCGUGCUUUGAAGUGUUCGGUUAAGUCCGUUAACGAGCGCAACCCUCGUCGUAUGUUGUUUUUUUCAUACGAGACUGCCAGGUUCAACCUGGAGGAAGGUGAGGAUGACGUCAAAUCAGCAUGGCCCUUAUGUCCCGGGCUACACAGGUGCUACAAUGGCCGGUACAAUGCGCAGCCAAACCGCAAGGUGGAGCCAAUCGCAUCAAAACCGGUCUCAGUUCGGAUUGGGGUCUGCAACUCGACCCUAUGAAGUUGGAAUUGCUAGUAAUCGCGCAUCAGCAAUGGCGCGGUGAAUAUGUUCCUGGAUCUUGUGCUCACCGCCCGUCAAACCACGAAAGAUAGGGGUACCCGAAGUAGCGUUAUCCCCUCGGGGAGCGUUCCUAAGGUAAAACUGUUAAUUGGGGUUAAGUCGUAACAAGGUA